rnacentral:rRNA from 1 species
CCUACGGGUGGCAGCAGUGAGGAAUAUUGGUCAAUGGACGAGAGUCUGAACCAGCCAAGUAGCGUGAAGGAUGACUGCCCUAUGGGUUGUAAACUUCUUUUAUAUGGGAAUAAAACGUUCCACGUGUGGGAUUUUGUAUGUACCAUAUGAAUAAGGAUCGGCUAACUCCGUGCCAGCAGCCGCGGUAAUACGGAGGAUCCGAGCGUUAUCCGGAUUUAUUGGGUUUAAAGGGAGCGUAGGUGGAUUGUUAAGUCAGUUGUGAAAGUUUGCGGCUCAACCGUAAAAUUGCAGUUGAAACUGGCAGUCUUGAGUACAGUAGAGGUGGGCGGAAUUCGCGGUGUAGCGGUGAAAUGCUUAGAUAUCACGAAGAACUCCGAUUGCGAAGGCAGUUCACUGGACUGCAACUGACACUGAGGCUCGAAAGUGUGGGUAUCAAACAGGAUUAGAUACCCCUGUAGUC